AACGUAGGUGGCGAGCGUUAUCCGGAAUAUCUGGCGUAAGGCGUGAGCGUCAGGCGGGCUAGGCAAGAUGGUGUAUGAAAGCUCCCGGCUCAACCGGGAAGGGUUAUGCCAGACUGCUAGUCUUGAGUGCGAGAGAGGAGCGUGGAAUUCCGGUGUAGUGGUGAAAUGCGUAGAGAUCCGGAGGAACCCAGAGGCGAAGGCGGCGCUCUGCUCG
rnacentral:rRNA from 1 species